UACAGAGGGGGCAAGCGUUGUUCGGAAUUACUGGGCGUAAAGGGCGCGUAGGCGGCCUGUUAAGUCGAACGUGAAAUCCCUGGGCUCAACCCAGGAACUGCGUCCGAUACUGGCAGGCUUGAAUUCGGGAGAGGGAUGCGGAAUUCCAGGUGUAGCGGUGAAAUGCGUAGAUAUCUGGAGGAACACCGGUGGCGAAGGCGGCAUCCUGGACCGGUAUUGACACUGAGGCGCGAAAGCCAGGGGAGCAAACGGG
rnacentral:rRNA from 1 species